AACGCGAAGAACCUUACCCAGGCUUGACAUCCUUGGAAUUUUGCCGAAAGGCGAGAGUGCUUUAUUGAGCCAAGUGACAGGUGUUGCAUGGCCGUCGUCAGCUCGUGUCGUGAGAUGUUUGGUUAAGUCCAUCAACGAGCGCAACCCUUGUAGUUAGUUGAAUUUUUCUAGCUAGACUGCCCUGGUAACAGGGAGGAAGGAGGGGAUGAUGUCAGGUCAGUAUUACCCUUACGUCUGGGGCUACAAACACGCUACAAUGGCCGGUACAAAGGGCAGCCAAGUCGCAAGACGGAGCAAAUCCCAUCAAAGCCGGUCUCAGUUCGGAUAGCAGGCUGAAACUCGCCUGCUUGAAGUCGGAAUCGCUAGUAACGGUAGGUCAGCACACUACCGUGAAUACGUUCCCGGGCCUUGUACACACCGACAUA
rnacentral:rRNA from 1 species